GGGCCCGUAGCUCAGCCUGGUAGAGCACUCGGCUCUUAACCGAGUUGUCGCGGGUUCAAAUCCCGUCGGGCCCG
rnacentral:tRNA from 1 species